CAAGAUAUAGCUUAACUAAAGCAUCCCGCUUACACCGGGAAAACGUUUGUUAAACCCAAACUAUUUUGA
rnacentral:tRNA from 1 species